rnacentral:rRNA from 1 species
GACGGGGCCGCACAAGCGGUGGAGCAUGUGGUUAAUUCGACGCAACGCGAAGAACCUUACCAGGGCUUGACAUCCCCUGACCGCGUAUGAAAGUACGUUUUCACCUCGGGUGACAGGGAGACAGGUGGUGCAUGGUUGUCGUCAGCUCGUGUCGUGAGAUGUUGGGUUAAGUCCCGCAACGAGCGCAACCCCUACGUUUAGUUGCUAACAGGUGAAGCUGAGCACUCUAGACGAACUGCCGUUGACAAACGGAGGAAGGUGGGAUGACGUCAAAUCAUCAUGCCCCUUAUGACCUGGGCUACACACGUGCUACAAUGGUUGGUACAACGAGUUGCGAGUCGGUGACGGCGAGCUAAUCUCUUAAAGCCAAUCUCAGUUCGGAUUGUAGGCUGCAACUCGCCUACAUGAAGUCGGAAUCGCUAGUAAUCGCGGAUCAGCACGCCGCGGUGAAUACGUUCCCGGGCCCU